GUGACACAUCACCUACUGGAGUGUGUGGUGCCACUCAGCAGGCACGGGUCUGACCCCAUCCUGUCACCCUGCUGCUGUGGUCAGCUGCCUCCUGCACUGUCCAAAGGAGGUCCUGAGCCAUCCACUUUCAGAAUCCAAAAGCUGACAGAGAUGGGUUGAUGAAACGAGGAACUUCUGUUCCCGGUGGCUGGAGGCAUCCUCCUCACAGCUGGUGGAGCCUACCAGAGCCGGGUUAAAAUCCCAGUGUCUCGAUCUGAGGAGCGCCUCUGCCCGGCCACCCCAUCUAGGAAGUGAGGAGCGUCUCUGCCCGGCCACCCCGUCUGGGAAGAAGUGAGGAGCGCCUCUGCCCGGCCGCCCCAUCUGGGAAGUGAGGAACCCCUCUGCCUGGCCGCCACCCCAUCUAGGAAGUAAGGAGCGUCUCUGCCUGGCCGCCCCGUCUGGGAAGAAGUGAGGAGUGCCUCUGCCCGGCCGCCCCGUCUGGGAAGUGAGGAGCACCUCUGCCUGGCCGCCCCAUCUGAGAUGUGGGGAGCGCCUCUGCCCGGCCGCCCCGUCUGGGAGGUCGACCACAGAGGCUAGAAGCAAUGUGGGGGCUGGAUGUGGUGGCUCACGCCUGUAGUCCCAGUACUCUGGGAGGCUGAGGCGGGUUGAUCACUUGAGGCUAGGAGCUCGAGACCAACCUGGCCAACAUGGCGAAACAUAUGAAAAAUACAACUGUCAAACCAACCAACGAACCAAGCGACAACAAAACAGGUCUACCCUGGAGUCAUACUCUAAUUUUUUUCUAUUUUCCCCCCUUUCUGAUCCUUUAUCCCACUUUCUUUUUCUUCCUCUUCCUUCUCCUUCUUCUUUGUCAAAUAGAGGAUUGAGUUAUUAUCAUUGAUCCAUACAAAGUCCCUCUCUCAUUUAUUUUCUUUAAUUCCCACCCCCCAUUUCUAUUCCCCGUCUUCCCAUGUGCAACCUUCCUAAUAUGUUUGAUAUGCAUCUUUUUGUUAGUAUGUACUUUUAGAAAAUGUUUAUUGUUUUGUGUGCAAAAAAAAAUAAAAAAUAAAAUAAAA